AGUGACAUAAGUAAAAAUUAAAAUUGAUAGAAAUAUUAAUAUUUGUAAAAAAUGUUGGAAAACAGUGAAAAUGAUAUCGUUUUAUCCAAUUCGAACGAAACUGUGCUAUAUCCCACAAAAGCGUUUUAUUACUAGUGAUGUGUUCAAUUUUAAUAUACAAUAUUCAUAUAUAGAUACUAAUAAAUCGAAAUCCAAUACACAAGAUUCGCUUUAUGGAUAUAUAAUAGCUUGAAAAGGGAUUGGCACACAUUUUCCUAUCAUUUAAUAGUAUUUGUACAUGAUUACAAAAAUUUGAUAAUACGAAAAUAAAAUGUAGAAACUGCUAAAGAGGCGUUUGAUCGGAAAAUAAGGUGUUGUAUUAUACUUGCCAAGUAUAUAUUUACAAAAUUUUCACACACUGAUUUUCAACCUCGCAAAUAUUAAAGCUCUACUUCAAUAAUUAUUUCAAUAAUCGAACGAAUCAAAUCUCUUGCAAAUAUCAAUCGCGAGAAUUCGGAAACCAUUACCAUUUCAUUGAAAUGUUUUAAUAAAUUUAGGAAGGUUCUAUAGAAUUUACAUCUAUAUACAAAUGAUAAAUGGGAUCAAUUUUAUUGAACGUUUGCUUUUGUCACUAUUUAAGAAGAUAGUUCAGAAAAGCGAUUUUAAGCGAAUGGAGAAUUUCUGACAAGGAACUCGUAGUUUCGAACUCACGUAACUGUUCUCGUUGUAAACAUGUCUUUGUUCAUAAAUUUAAAUUGCAUCGUUUUUUCGGAUUUCAGUUAGGCAGAAAGAAGUUCCAUUUCAACUAAUGUUAUUUCAGUAUUAGCAUAAGUAUAAGCUGUUAAUAUAUUUUUGAAUAUGCUACUUUUCACGAAUGAAUUUAGAUGGCCAAUUUUUGUGAUCGAGUAACAAGAAAAUUGUUCUUUUCCGGAAUGAACCAUCAUCAAAAUGUACAAAGUAAGCAUAUUCUGGAUUCUAGAUUGUGAUGUCAAUUGUAUCACUUUUGUUAACUUAUUCUCCGUAUUUUAAAUUGAGCUGCUUUAUGUUAUUAAUUAUUUGAUAAUGGCUUGUUUUAUGCCAUUUUCAAAUAAUUACUAUUAUGAUUUCCGUUACCUAAUACUCGACAUUUCAUGAACAAAAGUACUGUUUUUAUAGACAUUACUCCAAACCAUGUUCAAUAUUUUGAAUUGAAAAUUACUGUAUAUCGAAUGUAUUAGAUGGUCCCAAAAGUUUCUUUCGUUUUAUUAGGAAGUAACAGUUGUACAACAUUUUAUUUUUAUUAUUAUUUUAUUGAAUAUGUACGAUGCAUUUUGUUCCAAUAGAACAAAAAAUAAUAAUUGAUAUUUUUAUAAAUAUACUAAAACGAACUACCACCUAAUAGAACUUAGACAAAAAUUUGUUUUAUCCAUUAAAUAUUAAAUAUCUUAUAUCAUAGCCUAAUUUUUUCAUGUUUAGUUUUUCUAAAUGUUGCAUUUAGUUUUUGUAAAUUAUUCAAAAAUGCAUAGAAAUCUGCAAUCUACUUACGACAUUAUAUUUAAACUGUAUGAAGUAAAUCUUGAGUUUAUUCAGAUUUAUGAGUACGUAUUGAACUUGAUGUAAUCACUCAUCGCUAGUUUCACGAAUUCAUGUCAAUUAGAUAUCGUCUUCUUAACGCUUCUUUCACACGACUGGAUAUCGAUAAUAAAUUUUAUCGUUUACAUUGCACAAGACCACUUCACAUCGUCAUUUAGACCCAAAUAGUAAAUUUGUCAAUUUUCAUUGGGAUACAUGUUGCAUUCCGAUGAAACAUCGUAAUUGAUUGCUGUGAAACUAUUAUUUCGACCUAAAUGAAAUGAGUAGUUUACAAUAUUUAUCACAACCACUUUCUUUGGAGAUAUUUACAACUAACCACUUUAUAAGUACAUAAUAUAUAUGUAUGUUGUAGAUGAAAUGACUUAAUAAAACAUUUAAUAUUUAUAUCUUGCCUGAAAAUAAUAUUAAUCAAACUAUAAUUUAACAGAUUUAAUACAUUUCGACCAUUUAUAAAACAAAGUUACAAUUUGGUACUCGAAACCUUUAGUUGAUCAUUAUCGACAACUUUUUGUAUGUUUUUAAUAUUUAUAUGUUUGAUGGUGUCCUUCAAUUGAGAUUAUUCCACGCUAACGCAGAUUGUUCAUUUUUUUAAUAUAGUUUUUUUAGAAAAAGCUGUUAUAGCAGUAAUUAUAUAUAAAAAACGUUUAAUAGCAAAUUACCUAUAUAAUAGUAAACCACAAUAAUACAAACUAUAAGAAAUUUUCAUUUACUUUCUUCUAAUCGUCAAUUCCUUUUCUCAAUUAUAUUGAUAUAUUCUAGGAUAAUUAUUUAGAAAACUGCGAUCAUCUUGGAUUUCGAUGAUUUUUUAAUAUAUUGCAAAAAUCAACAUUUCAAACAACUUUUUCCUUUGCGUGCUAUCCUCGGAUUCUUAGUUUCCGAGAUUUUUGCAAAAAACUGGCGGUAUCACUACAAUGAAUUCUGCUUAUAAUUGUUUACAAAUAAUGUCCGUGACAGCGGAUGACCCAACCUAUAUAAACUAUAAACAAAUGAUAAGAAUUAGGUUCGGAUUAAGCGUUAUUUUAUCUGGUCACCACACCGUGAUGCUGCCUAACUCCAAUCAAUAUUUAACGCAUACGCUGUCACGGACACAGAAUUGUCACCAGAAUUCACUGUGGUUGUACCGACAGUUUUUUGCGAAAACUGACAAUAAGACUAAAAAUUGUUCAGAUGCCUCCAAUAACAUAUUAAAAAAUCAUCGAUAUCUGAAAUGGUGGAAGUUUUCGAAAUAAUUACUCUUAACUUUUAUUUUCUUUUUUCUAAAGAAUAUAUUUGACAUAAAGUACAGCCUUCAUUAAUUAAUACAGAACAAUUAUUUGAAACAGAAUUAAAGGAUUGGCUGUCCCAACAUUUAUCCAGAUUAUGUAUAAUAACCUCAUUAGAACUUGGUAGGAUAAAAUUAAUUUCUUUCCUUUUCUAUAUCUUUUACGGUUUUUGAUCGCUAAACAUAAUAAUAUAUUUCGAUCAAUUUUGAUAUUCGUAUUAUUCUAUUUUUUGUUAUUUGAUCCUACGCAUGUUACGAAUGGUUUUACAAUACAAAUUUAGGUUUCUAUAGACUCUUUCGCUUUCCCUAUCUAAUUUAUUUCAAAUAUUUUAAAUAGGCCAGGAAAAUAUGUGAGUCAUGUAAUUAAUUACUACAUUGUUGUGACUUUUGAAAAUAGUUUUGACAAACUUUUGUUAUGUGUUCCGGAUUGCAAUUUUGCAUGAAUAUGAAAUUCUGAUCGAUUAAUGGUUUUCUUGAUAAUUUGGAUUAAUUAUCAAUUCGAAUGAAAAUAAUAGGUGUCCCAUACUCGGGAUCAAUCAACGGGAGUGUAGAUAAAUAAAUUCCUUAGAAGCCAAACUGAUUUCAACUCCAUUUUUUACUAAUUUCUCAAUUACAAUAUUCAAAUACAAUAUACAAUUAAUAUUUAAUUCUUAAAAUAUAAAUAUGGUAUUUCCAUAAUUUCAUUUAUAAAUAACAUGAUUACUAAUAUCAAUAUGAAAUAUUACUAAUAAUAUAGUGAUAUAAAUAACAGUAAAUUUCAAGAUAAGUUGAAGAAAUAAUGCUUGUAAUAAUGGGAUAUAAUCACUCUACUUUCCAAUUUUCCAGUUAGUCAAUAUAGCUUCUACAUGAUUCAAAUGCACAAAUCAUUUUCUAUAUAAUGUCACUUUCUAUGUAACAAUAAAAACGAAUAUAUCUAGGGAUAUCUUUAACAUUUCUCAUUAAUUGUAAAUAUUUAAUCAAAACAAAUAUUGAACGUCCCAAUUACAUUAUACGAAAAUGCCACUGAAAGAUGUUUACUGAAACAUUUUCAAUAAUCAAAUGAUAAUCUCAGAAAGUUAUCGUUUCGUAAAUUAUAUCGUUGAUGUAUUGCCUAUUGUAACGUAUAAAGCGCCAGGAGUUUGAUGAUUCGUUAAGAAACAGAUAAUGUUCAAAUGCUUCUCGUAUGUAAUUUGCAUGAUUGCUACGCAUUAACUACACGUUUCUGUCCACAGUUCUCCCGUUUCAAGUACGAGAGAGUCCAAUCGAAACUAGUAUAUCUGCGAAUCAGGAAAAAACGUUCCAAAGUAUUGUAUGAUUCAUGCGAUAGUGGUUUCAAACGUUUUUUUUAGAUCGGUCUGUCUUUAUAUACAGUAAAACUUGGUUUAUAUUAACUCGUUAAGUAUUUAACAUUUAACUAUGUCAACGAAAUUUUAUUUACAAUUAAUGCCUGAAUAACUGAACGCUGACUGAAUCUUUAUUAUCUGAACUGCCGAGUACCACUCAUACCAAUUACAUGAACGAAUGGAAUGUAUUUGUGUCUAUUUAUAUGUAUCGAAAUGAUUUUUCUCGAUUUCUUUUAUUAUUCGAAUUAAUUUUUUUUAUUUAUUUAUAUUUAUAUCACGCGGUAUUAAUUAAUUACACGAUUAUUGUGGACACAAAUUCAUAAGGUUCCAAAAUCAUAAGGUUCGAAACAUUAUUAUAUGUAUAUUUAUGAGCAAAUGUUUGGUGGAGUUCAUUUAUAUGAACGUAAACUCUAUUAGCUGUCCGAAAAAUCACAGAUGUUGUAAGAAGGGAAAAUUAAGUGAACUUGUACUAUAUACAUACGAUAUACGAAUGACCUGGUCAUACGAAUCUGCUUAUCCCCAACAGAUUUGUAUAAAUGGUAUUUUACAUUAUAGUAUAAACAGGUUUAUAAAAAUAUUCGCGGUUUUAAAUAUCCUUUACGAAUAUAUUAUGUUGUAUGAAACAUUUUGAAAUUUCAUUAACGCAGUUAUGACUAUGAGACUCGACUAUCUUUGUUAUAUUGGUAACGUUAAAAACAGAACUGAAAAAACAUAUAUAUAUAUAUAUACAUAUACAUAUAUGUUUUUUCAGUAUAUAUAUUCAAUAUGUAUAUAUAUAUGCAAUUGUUUCCUAACCAUAAAUCUCAAUAUGAGGAAAGGCAAAAUACGAGGAAAGAGUAUCUUGGAUAAAAUUUGACCAACUAACUUAACAAAACUUGAGCACUUACAACAGUUUCAUUAAAAUUUGUAUUAAAUUCGAAGAAGGAAAUCAAUCAACAUUUAAGCCUAAAAGGUGAUACUGGAAUACAAGGAAUUUACUCAAUACCACAAAAUAUCCAAACAAACGAAACGCUAUGUAUAACGAAACAAAAAGAAAAUAAUAUUAAUAAUAUUUCCUAUAGGAUAUAAUAUAAUAAUAAUUCCCUAAAGAAAUAGCUCUAAAUAAGUACGACUAUACAAUAAAUAAACAAAAACAAAUAAUCGAGUAAUUGAAAAUAAAUGAUCUCUCAUAUAAAAGAUUAACAAAGUUAUUUGAUUAUCAGAACAGAAUAAAUUGUGACUAGUUCGCAUGAUCAAGGUUGUUCUAUUACAUGAUCUUACAUAUUUGCUAGAACGUAUUUUUUAUAUUUAUUUGUAAAGUAAUAACUUCUCAUUAAAUAAUUUAUACUUCAAUUGCGUUUCAAACAAGUUAAUAAAUGAUUCUUUUACUACUGUUAUCUUUUAAAUCAACAAAUCUCUAUUUAACUUCCAUUUCCCUAGUCAUAUUCAUAAGACUAUGAAAUAUCACAAAUAUCCGCGAUCUAGUUCUCAUUAAUUGUACAGUGUCCUAUCAAUGAUAGUGUCCCAGUGUUAAUGGUACAAUUGACAAGGAGGCAAUUUUAUGUGGAAAAGUAAGUCGAAAAUAUAAAAUAAAAUUUUUUCAUAGAACGCUUCGUUUUUGAACAAAUGAAAUUUUAAAAGUUAUCAAGUACGCAUGGCAAUGCCAAUUCUUAACUAAGCAUGUUCAAAUGCUAUUUUCUUGGAAAUGAGACCUUAAGCAGAAAAGUGUUAUUUUUCACUUAUUCUUCUUCGUAGAAUGACCUAAUGACCUUCUGAUGAUUGUUUACUUAUAUCCAUCCGGUAUUUAAUUAGAUAAGUUCAGAUAUAACAAAGAAAUUUCCAAAUUUGAUUUUAUCGAAAACAAAGCGUCGCGCCGUAUGAAAAAAUGUUAUUCUAUAUUUUCACUGAAUUUUUUCACGUAGAAUUACGGUUUUACCAAUUGUACCAUGAUUACUGGAACACCUUGUAUAGUAAUGUAGUAAAUUAUUGUGCAGUGGUAUGCCCACAGGUAUGCGAUUGAAGUUACGACGACAUGUGGCACGUAACAGUAACCUGUUUUCACAAGCGUGACUCAAUAGUGGCCACGUGAUUGUGACACCUCACUGAACAACGAAUCGAUCGCCAGGGGAAUAUAGACGACGGGCAAAACAGCAUUUACCUCGAUGCAGCACGAGCACAACGAGUAACACGAUGGAUCUUGAAACUUAAACACUCGUCGGAACGAAUACACGAUACUACACGACUAAAGCAUUCCACGCGCGCUUUCUCACUGAAGAACCGAGCGAACGAACGGGUUACGCACGUCCAUGAUUCCAUGAACAAGGCCCCACCCCGACCGAUUCCUCGUUCUCUGAGUUAUCGGUGACGACAUCAUCCAGGAGACGACGUUCUUCUCCUUCAUUUGCUCCAAUGAUCAAAGUUAAUCGUGCGAAUCGAAGCUCCGAUGUCGCCAAUGACGAUUUCUACCAAGAUUGAGUAUUAUCAAAACAAGCUUUCAUUUAAAUAAUUUUUCAAAUUGAAAUGUUGACUUUAUUUGUUAUUUUCUUUGUUCCUUUAUCUUAAAUAACGUUAUUUCGAUAAUAAUGUACUUGGGAAAUAAAUUAUUUGAUUGAAUAAAUA